rnacentral:tRNA from 1 species
GCGUAUGUGGGAUAGCUCAGUUGGUAGAGCUUGAGACUCUUAAUCUCAGGGUUGUGGGUUUGAGCCCCAUGUUGGGCA